rnacentral:misc_RNA from 1 species
GAAAUGCGAUACUUGGUGUGAAUUACAGAAUCCCGUGAACCAUCGAGUCUUUGAACGCAAGUUGCGUCCGAAACCAUGAGGUUGAGGGCACGUCUGCCUGGGCAUCUCACGUUGAGUCGCCCGCGCCCCCUCCCCCGAAGGGGGGGAAGAAGGGCUGCGGACCGAUGUUGCUCCCCCGCGUGGGCCCACGCGUGGUCGGCCUAAAAGUGAGUCCACCGCGACGGACGAUGCGUCGCGACGAGUGGUGGCUGACAAACCGUUGCGUCGCCUUACGCGCAUUCGGGCCGUCUUGAGAGGCCUGUCGUGACCCUAUCGCACCGCCACCAAGGCUCUCCGAUCACAGCCCUAGGUCAGGCGGGAUUACCCGCUGAGUUUAA